GACCGGCGCACGGGUGAGUAACGCGUAUGUAAUCUACCUGUAACAGAGGGAUAACCCGGAGAAAUCCGGACUAAUACCUCAUAGCACAUAUUAUUCGCAUGAAUUUUAUGUUAAAGAGACUCGGUUACAGAUGAACAUGCGUUCCAUUAGCUAGUUGGCGGGGUUACGGCCCACCAAGGCAACGAUGGAUAGGGGUUCUGAGAGGAAGGUCCCCCACACUGGUACUGAGACACGGACCAG
rnacentral:rRNA from 1 species